GAUGAACGCUGGCGGCGUGCCUAAUACAUGCAAGUCGAGCGAACAGACGAGGAGCUUGCUCCUCUGACGUUAGCGGCGGACGGGUGAGUAACACGUGGAUAACCUACCUAUAAGACUGGGAUAACUUCGGGAAACCGGAGCUAAUACCGGAUAAUAUAUUGAACCGCAUGGUUCAAUAGUGAAAGACGGUUUUGCGGUCACUUAUAGAUGGAUCCGCGCCGCAUUAGCUAGUUGGUAAGGUAACGGCUUACCAAGGCAACGAUGCGUAGCCGACCUGAGAGGGUGAUCGGCCACACUGGAACUGAGACACGGUCCAGACUCCUACGGGAGGCAGCAGUAGGGAAUCUUCCGCAAUGGGCGAAAGCCUGACGGAGCAACGCCGCGUGAGUGAUGAAGGUCUUCGGAUCGUAAAACUCUGUUAUUAGGGAAGAACAAAUGUGUAAGUAACUAUGCACGUCUUGACGGUACCGAAUCAGAAAGCCCCGGCUAACUACGUG
rnacentral:rRNA from 1 species